rnacentral:rRNA from 1 species
UACGUAGGGGGCAAGCGUUGUCCGGAUUUAUUGGGCGUAAAGAGCGUGUAGGCGGCUAGGUAGGUCCGUUGUGAAAACUCGAGGCUCAACCUCGAGACGCCGAUGGAAACCAUCUAGCUAGAGUCCGGAAGAGGAGGAGUAGUAUUCGUGGUGUAGCGGUGAAAUGCGCAGAUAUCAGGAAGAACACCCGUGGCUAAGGCGGCUCUCUAGUACGGUACUGACGCUGAGACGCGAAAGCGUGGGGAGCGAACAGG